ACAAGGUUGAUAGGUCAGAGGUGUAAGUGCGGUAACGUAUUUAGCUGACUGAUACUAAUAGGUCGAGGGCUUGACCAA
rnacentral:rRNA from 1 species